AAAAGGCAAUGAGGUCAAUCAAAACGACUGUGUGAAGCUGUGGAAAUGCUGACACGCCAUAACAGUAGGAGGAAAAUCCUCUUCUCCUCUCUUCGUGAGUCGUGAUGCAGAAGAAGAAGGAUGAAGUUCAAUCAGACACUCCAGUUCAUGAAUCCAUAUCCCCUCGUGCCUUUAAAUUCUCCCCUUUUCUAUUUUUUAUUAUUUUUUAAAUCCAACCUCUGUCCUAAAGCCAUGUUCCGC
rnacentral:lncRNA from 1 species